AUGAAACUGAUUAUCUUCCCAGCCACUGGCUGCCAGAAACUCAUUGGAGUGGAUGAUGAAUGCAAACUUCGUACUUUUUGUGAGAAGCAUAUGGCCACAGAAGUUGCUGCUGAUGCUCUGGGUGAAGAAUGGAAGGGUUAUGUGGUCUGAAUCAGUGGUGGGAACGACAAAUUUCCCCAUGAAGCAGGGUGUCUUAACCCAUGGCCGUGUCUGCCUGCUACUGAGUAAGGGGCAUUCCUGUUACAGACCAAAGAGAGUGGGACAAAGAAAGAGAAAAUCAGUUUGUGGUUGUAUUGUGGAUGCCAAUCUGAGCAUUCUCAACUUGGUUAUUGUGAAAAAAAAAGGAGAGAAGGAUAUUCCUGGACUGACGGACUGACUGAUACUAUGGUGCCUCAUCGCCUGGGGCCCAAAAGAGCUAGCAGAAUUCGCAAACUUUUUUUUUUUUUUUUUUGGGGGGGGAUGGAUCUGUCUAAAGAAGAUGAUGUCCGCCAGUAUGUUGUAAGAAAGCGCUUAAACAAAGAAGGUAAGAAACCUAGGACCUAGAAACAAAACACCCAAGAUUCAGUGUGUUGUUACUCCACGUGUCUUGCAGCACAGAUGGCAGUGUAUUGCUCUGAAGAAGCAGCGUACUAAGAAAAAUAAGGAAGAGGCUGCAGAAUAUGCUAAACUCUUGGCCAAGAGAAAUUAAGGAGGCUAAGGAGAAGUGCCGGGAACAAUUUACGAAGAGACGCAGACUUUCCUCUCUGCGAGCUUCUGCUUCUAAGUAAAGUCCAGAGAAGAAGCUGGUGAGAAAGAGACAGGAGCCAGAUCCUGAAUGACGGUAAAUUGAAUCCUGGAGGGAACCAAACAAAGCCCUGAAAACCUCCAAGAAUCUCAAGUUCGCCAAAUCCAUGAUUUCUUUCUCCAGGAAGAAAAAUGGCAUCCGUUGCAGUUGAUCCACAACCGAGUGUGGUGACUCGGGUGAUCAACCUGCCCUUGGUGAGCUCCACGUAUGACCUCAUGUCCUCAGCCUAUCUCAGUACAAAGGACCAAUAUCCCUACCUGAAGUCUGUGUGUGAGAUGGCAGAGAAGGGCGUGAAGACCAUCACCUCCGUGGCCAUGACCAGUGCUCUGCCCAUCAUCCAGAAGCUA